rnacentral:lncRNA from 10 species
AGGUUUUGGCAGAGUUCAAAGACUGGGAAGCAAAGUUCAGCCAUGUUGGGCCUUUGGGCUCAUAGAUGAGCAAGGGUACCCCAAUAUGAGGGCUCAGCAAAUUCUGGAACUUAUCAGUUCUGAAGACCUUUAGAGGAGAAGGAGACAAGUAAAAGGGUUGGCCUUGCGUAUUGGCAAUGAAACAGGCUAUUUUUGACAUUGAGUUGUCCAGCAUUCUCUAAGGUAUGUAGUCCUGGAGGGCGCUGCUUAAUGAACCAGAAGUCCUGCCUCUUAAGUACCUCACCAGCUCAAAUGUGUGCAUGUCACCUUGGCGUGAAUCGGAGCAGGCGCUGGUGGAUACCGUUUGGAGGCAUGCCAGCAAGGAGCUCCUUGUGUAGCCUGCCUCUGGAGCCUCAAGUUCAACUUCCAUAGGGCCAAAAGGGGAGUCGGGCUGGGCAGAAGCUCCUGAGAACCAAAGCAAAUGGUCUGAGAGUCUGAGAGUGUAGUGGAGGUAACGUGUUCGUGUCCUCUCUGGCUGCAUCACCCCAAGUCCUUGCAGACUCAAGUAGCCUAUUUGCAAGUUUAAAUAGUUUGAGUCCUGGCCGGUAACAAGAAUACUCUACAGUGGCCCAGAGUCAGGGAUAUAGAGUGGCGACUACUUGGCAGAACUGGAGCUUGCUCAGAUGAAAAGAUAAAUUGUACUGGUUAAACGAAGAUCAAGUGCAGGGUCUGGACUUUGUUUCUAUCUUUCAUGUGGACUCUAUAAGCACCUACACACAGCAUUCUAGAAACACUGCUCCCAUCCCUCCUGUCUCAUGUCAUCCUCCCAAUUCCGGGAGUUGGGGGGCAUACUCUUUCCCUGUGUCAUGUGAGAAAUUCCUUUCUCAUGGGAAGCAGGUGGCAUUCCUGGACUCUCCUUGGCCUGGCCGUUGGUAAGCACAGGAAUUCAAGGUGUCUGAAUCUCUUGUCAAAGGUGGGCUGUAAGGCUCCAGAAGAGGAGGACAGAAAGUGCCUGCAGAGCUCCUGCCUGAGGCCUUUGGAUGGGCCCUGCUGGCUUGCCGUGUGUGUGUGUGUGUGUGUGUGUGUGUGUGUGUGUGUGUGGUGUCGUGCUUAUUUGCCCCAAAUGAGGCAAGAGAGCAGUGAUCAGGUGUCUCCCCAGCAUCUAGUUUCAUGAAGACAAUAGAAGUGGGUCGGAUCAGGCCUGCUGCCAUGCUUGGCUUGCCCAUGUCUCCUAGGAUUGGCUGCCUGGUGGCCAUCCCUUUGCCAUCCCCUUGACUGCCCUGUGAAUGAUGUCCACUCUGAGACCCCAGGCCACUCAGAAAAACUGAAGAUUCUCAAGUUCAGGUGCAGUUAGGGGGCAGGUCCUGGUGGUGGGGGAGCUUUGAUGUUCUGCAGUUGGAGGAUCCUCUUUCAGAAUAGUAAUGCAAUUUGUGAAUUAAUAAAAUUAGGUAUGCAAGAGGAUAUGUAGAAAAGAAAAAUCACAAGCUACACAAUUUUUAAGUUGACAAAACUACGAACAUCACAAAAUAAUAUGAUAUUUUAAAUUAAUUAUCUGCCUGGAAUACUCUGUCAUUUUUUUUUGAUCUUUUGCCUGCAUCGUCUUUGAUAGCAGUGUUUUUGAUAUUGCUUUUUAUAGAGAGACUCAAGAUAAUGGAGUCUACUCUGUUGUGGUUAAUUAAACAUUUUUUGGUGUUAUUCAUAGUUUGAGAUGUUUCUUUUAGCUUCUCAACCUGCUAUACAGAUAAAAAGCACUUUCAUGUCAGGUAAAUAUUUAGAAUUGUUGCCAAAUUUUAAAUUUCCUCCAUCAAUUUUCUUUCAUAUGUCAUAUAUGAGUUGUGAGAUUUGGAAGGAUAUUUCAGACCAGCUUCUGUAUCUAUUUUUUUCUCUAAUCACAUGCUACUGGUGGUGUGGACAGUAGUAGCACAUGACCAUAUCAGGACAUGAUCUAUCUUGGUGUCAUGGCUCUCAGUGAGUCUGCUUGGAGGGUAGUAGAAGUAUCCCUGGACGUCAUUCCUACACCAGGACAGCAAUAACUUAGCUCUCCAAGGAAGUUACUGUGAAC